GAUCCUGGCUCAGGACGAACGCUGGCGGCGUGCCUAACACAUGCAAGUCGAGCGAAUGAAGUUCCUUCGGGGACGGAUUUAGCGGCGGACGGGUGAGUAACACGUGGGCAACCUGCCUCAUAGAGGGGAAUAGCCUUCCGAAAGGGAGAUUAAUACCGCAUAAGAUUGUAGUACCGCAUGAUACAGCAAUUAAAGGAGCAAUCCGCUAUGAGAUGGGCCCGCGGCGCAUUAGCUAGUUGG
rnacentral:rRNA from 1 species